rnacentral:lncRNA from 1 species
UUCUUGAUAUUCGCAAUUAUAUUAUUUAACAAGACCAUUAAUUAUUAAUUAUUGAUGAGUCAAUAUUCUAUAUCUAUAAAUAAAUAAAUAACAAAAAUAAUAAAAAAAAUAACAAAAAUUUCCCUCCCCUUCUUCUUCUUUCUCCUCGACACCCUCUUCUCCCUUCUUCCUCACUCCCUCCCAUUUUUUAUCACCCCGCCGCCGCUACCACCUCCUAGCCGCCACAGACUUCUUUCUUCUCCCUCCGGUCGUCGGCACAAUCCUCUUCUUCUCCUUUUCCCGCUGUCAACGUCAGGAUCGGGAAGAGGAUUGCUCCUCCUAGUUGCCGAUGCAAGACCAACCGCCUGUCCGAUGCCAGAAACAAGCUCCCCACUGUUGACAACCUCAAGGCAGCCCUUCUCCACCGUUUUCCUCCGCCAACAGCCUCUGUGUAACCCCACCGAAGCCGAUUUUCAUCCUCCUCAAUCUAGCAUUUUUUUCCGACAAUAAUUAGGCUGUAAUUUUGGUAUUUUUGAACUCUCCGCAACUCAAGCUUCGCGUAGGUGUCUCCGGAUCCGAAAUCCAACAUGUUGGCGGUAUCGACUUUCAAACUCUAGUGUUUCUCGGACGCGCAGAAGUUCGAGUUUCAGCUCGGUAUAAUUUUAUUUAGACUUCAGAAGGAGUUAAUUUUCUAUUAUGUAAAUUUAGACUAUGAUUAAUUGAAUUGAAUGUGAAGAAUAUUGUGUGAUUGUAUUGGAAAUAAUAAUAUUACUUUUGCUGGACUGUUUUUUUUUUUUUGAAUUGUGAUUUGGUUGUGUUAUAGAGUCGGAAAAAUAAUGUAGUUUUGGUGGCCCAACUCCUGUUAAAUAAAUGUGAAAUAUUUGAAAUUUUUUUAGUAGAUUCUGGACCCGUUAUACGGGAGGUAAACGUCCAUAUUUCAAGGGAGGUUCUACCAAAUUUUCAGUAGAAUUUUGGAGUCGAAAUUUCUUAGGUAGUCUAAUCUAGGAGUCUAGUCUUAGGAAAAAUUAAAAAUAUCUUAUUAAUUGAGUUAUUUUCAUAAAUAUAUAGUCCAUCCUCCAUCCAGCUCCACCCAAGGCGUAGGAUCAAACUAUAGAGCGUAACAGAACUGUGAGUUAAAGUCAUAUAAUCAACUCUAAAUAUGUCAUGUCUAAAUUAAAUGCAAUGUUAUUAUGAUUAUUAUUAUUAGCAUUAUUAUUAUUAAUUUUAUUUGAUUAAUAAUUAUUAUGAUUAUUAUUAGCACUAUUAUUAUUAAUUUUAUUUGAUUAAUAAUAAUAAUUAUUAUCAUUAUCAUUAUUAUUUUUGCUAUCAUAUUCAUUAUUAUUUUAUUAUUUUUAUUAUUAUUAUUAUUAUUAUUUUUUUCAUGUAUGUUAUACUUGGGGCUAUUUAAUUUUUGUUCUUAAUAUGUUAUUGAAUAGUUUAUGUUUGCUUGUGGUUUACGCUAUUUUUAAUUAUUAUUCAUGCUAUGAUUGUAACUUCGGGAUGAGGCGGAAGUAGACCAUGCCACCUGAUGGGUUGCAUAAGGACCGCGUGCACACCGGCAUUAAUCAGGGAUAGGUAGUAAAAGAAUAUCUUUGGGAUUUGCCCUCGUCGAGUACAACUCUCUAGGCUGUGAGAAUUCGAUUACCGGAGGAAAGGUCUCUGGUCAAGCCUUGCUCUCUGGAUGCAGACUUUAUUGAGAAUCAAGUGACUAGGCUGGAUAUAAGGAUCAUGGUUGAGCUUCGCUCUCUAGGUGCUAGUCCUAUUGGAAUAAGAGAGCCGAAAGGCUGUUAAUAUUGGGAUUAGGGUUCUACUGAAGUGCUCGUCCCUUAUGAGUCAAAAAUUAAUUAUUUUAAAUUAUGUUGUGAUACUUUCUUAUUAAUUUGUGAUGCACCACAUUAUUUUAUCAACCAUUGCAUAUGGAUAUUUGUGGCUGUUUUACUUCAUAUAUAUGAUUUUAACUCACUUCCGAAACUGACAGUCUCAAUUCUAAAUUUUUCAAGUGACAGCUAGGUUCUCCACCGACACCUUUUGCA